GAAACUUAGGAUCACUUUAAACCGAAGGCCUUCAAAGCCUUAAAUAAGAGUUAAACCCUCUUAGUUUCUGC
rnacentral:tRNA from 1 species